GGUGGUUCAAAAGCAGAUUUGGAGAAGAUUUGCAGAUGGAAUCGAUAUUCAAGUGUUUCUUCAAAGUCUGUAAUGGAGUCAUUAAAGUUGAAAUUAAGUUGUAAUUGAAGAAAGAAGUGAAGAAGGCCGAGUUGCAGAAAUCUGAAUCUGAGCUUUUGUCCAAGCAUUGUUGCAACACUGCCCUUGAGCAUUGCAACGCUGCUCAUAUUCUAUCGGGGAUCGAGUUUCAAUCGAGUGUCGAGGAGUGAGUUUCAAACUGGUCAAGCAGCAUGCAUCGAGUUUGAACCGGUUUGACGAGUUUGAAUCAGCCAACUAUUUAGCAACGAGUUUUCAACCAAGGACCGAGCGAAGAUGAGCGAGUUGAGCCGGUUUUUUACUGAUUUUCUCCAGAUCCUGUCCGGUUCGGCCUCAAAUGGUUUUUGGCUGGUCUGGUUCAAGCUGCUCGAGUAUGGUUUGGGGCGGUUCGAGUGGUCCAAAAGAGUUUUGAAACUAUUUCUUGUUAAUUUUUGUAAUAAUUAGGCAUUUGGUUGCUUGAAAAUACCAAAACUAAAACCAUAUCAGUAUGUGUUAAUUAUUUAUACAUGUGAUAUAUGUUAUAAUUAAAUAAAUCUUGUA